UGGGGAAUAUUGGACAAUGGGCGCAAGCCUGAUCCAGCCAUGCCGCGUGAGUGAUGAAGGCCCUAGGGUUGUAAAGCUCUUUCAGCGAGGAGGAUAAUGACGUUACUCGCAGAAGAAGCCCCGGCUAACUUCGUGCCAGUAGCCGCGGUAAUACGAAGGGGGCUAGCGUUGUUCGGAAUCACUGGGCGUAAAGCGCACGUAGGCGGACUUUUAAGUCAGGGGUGAAAUCCCGGGGCUCAACCUCGGAACUGCCUUUGAUACUGGAAAGUCUGGAGUCCGAGAGAGGUGAGUGGAACUCCGAGUGUAGAGGUGAAAUUCGUAGAUAUUCGGAAGAACACCAGUGGCGAAGGCGGCUCACUGGCUCGGUACUGACGCUGAGGUGCGAAAAGCGUGGGGAGCAAAACAGGAUUAGAUACCCUGGUAGUCCACGCCGUAAAACGAUGGAAGCUAGCCGUCAGGGUGCAUGCAUCUUGGUGGCGCAGUUAACGCAUUAAAGCUUCCCGCCUGGGGAGUACGGUCGC
rnacentral:rRNA from 1 species